rnacentral:rRNA from 1 species
GACGAACGCUGGCGGCGUGCUUAAAAACAUGCAAGUCGAACGGACUUCUCAUGAAGCUUGCGAUUGAGAAGUUAGUGGCGGACGGGUGAGUAACGCGUGGGCAACCUGCCCCUGAGCCCGGGAUAACAGUUCGAAAGGACUGCUAAGACCGGAUAUACUUGCGGGGAAGCAUUUCACUGCAAGGAAAGGGAACGCUCAGGGAUGGGCCCGCGUCCCAUUAGCUAGUUGGUGAGGUAACGGCCCACCAAGGCGACGAUGGGUAGCCGGCCUGAGAGGGUGAACGGCCACACUGGGACUGAGACACGGCCCAGACUCCUACGGGAGGCAGCAGUUGGGAAUCUUCGGCAAUGGGCGCAAGCCCUGACCGAGCAACGCCGCGUGAGUGAUGAAGUUUUCGGAUUGUAAAGCUCUGUCUUCCGGGACGAUAAUGACGGUACCGGAGGAGGAAGCCACGGCUAACUACGUGCCAGCAGCCGCGGUAAGAGUGUGUGUA